rnacentral:rRNA from 1 species
AGUGAACGCUGGCGGUAGGCCUAACACAUGCAAGUCGAACGGCAGCACAGUAAGAGCUUGCUCUUACGGGUGGCGAGUGGCGGACGGGUGAGGAAUACAUCGGCAUCUACUUUUUCGUGGGGGAUAACGUAGGGAAACUUACGCUAAUACCGCAUACGACCUACGGGUGAAAGCAGGGGAUCUUCGGACCUCGCGCGAUUGAAUGAGCCGAUGCCGGAUUAGCUAGUUGGCGGGGUAAAGGCCCACCAAGGCGACGAUCCGUAGCUGGUCUGAGAGGAUGAUCAGCCACACUGGAACUGAGACACGGUCCAGACUCCUACGGGAGGCAGCAGUGGGGAAUAUUGGACAAUGGGCGCAAGCCUGAUCCAGCCAUGCCGCGUGGGUGAAGAAGGCCUUCGGGUUGUAAAGCCCUUUUGUUGGGAAAGAAAAGCAGCAGGUUAAUACCCCGCUGUUCUGACGGUACCCAAAGAAUAAGCACCGGCUAACUUCGUG